rnacentral:rRNA from 1 species
UCCAGACUCCUACGGGAGGCAGCAGUGAGGAAUAUUGGUCAAUGGGCGGGAGCCUGAACCAGCCAAGCCGCGUGAAGGAAGAAGGCGCCAGGCGUCGUAAACUUCUUUUGUCGGGGAACAAAGGGCGCCACGCGUGGCGUUGUGAGUGUACCCGAAGAAAAAGCAUCGGCUAACUCCGUGCCAGCAGCCGCGGUAAUACGGAGGAUGCGAGCGUUAUCCGGAUUUAUUGGGUUUAAAGGGUGCGUAGGCGGCGCGGAAAUCCCGGGGAAAAGGCGCGGGGCCCACCCCCGGGGAGCCGUUGAAACUGUCGGACUAGAGACGGCGAGAAGUACGCGGAAUGCGCGGUGUAGCGGUGAAAUGCAUAGAUAUCGCGCAGAACUCCGAUUGCGAAGGCAGCGUACCGGCGCCGGACUGACGCUGAGGCACGAAAGCGUGGGUAUCGAACAGGAUUAGAUACCCGAGUACA